GAUCAUGGCUCAGGAUGAACGCUGGCGGCGUGCCUAACACAUGCAAGUCGAGGGGCAGCAUGGUCUUAGCUUGCUAAGACUGAUGGCGACCGGCGCACGGGUGAGUAACACGUAUCCAACCUGCCGUCUACUCUUGGACAGCCUUCUGAAAGGAAGAUUAAUACAAGAUGGCAUCAUGAGUCCGCAUGUUCACAUGAUUAAAGGUAUUCCGGUAGACGAG
rnacentral:rRNA from 1 species